UUACAGGCGUAGAUACUAAUAGAAAGGAUACCACAGUGGGCAUGCACAACAUGUUUAUAGCAACACAGAAAAAAUCAACAGAAAUUGGAAAAGAGGAGAGAAUUAGAGUAGCUGUUAAAAAGGAAUUAUCCAGAUCUCUGAGGUUACCCUUACUUCAAAUAGCCAAUGCCUUCAAUGUUGAUAGUUUAUUGAGAAGAGCUGGUGUUACGACGACUACGGUACAAACCAGACGACUUGGUUGUAAUGCCGCAUCAGGAGUACGAUGUGAUCCUAAUGCGUUGUUUAGAACAGCUGAUGGAACGUGUAAUAAUCUACAAUUCUCGAAAUGGGGCAGUGCCUUUAUACCUAUGAGAAGAUUUCAACCACCAGCAUAUGGUGAUGGUGCAUCUGAACCCCGAACACAAGGUGUUGACGGUUCACCAUUACCCAGUGCACGAGUUGUAAGUCGUGAAAUACAUGAAAAUGAUCGAGGUCAAGGCGAGAUGAGUACCUUAACACAUAUGGUGAUGCAGUGGGGACAAUUUCUCGAUCAUGAUAUAACUAGUACACCACAUCA